UUCCAGCAAGAGAGUCUACUGGCUUUAGUGAGCAAGAAGAGCUUGGCUGCCACGCAUGAGUCUCACUUUGAUGGACAGUUAUUGACAGGUCUUCUUCUGAGAAUUACUGUUCUGUGAAUUCUUACCAAGUGACACUGAUAGGAAAUUUCACAGCAAAGUUCCCGGAGGUCAGCCCUCUUCCUAAUGAUGCUGAGCAGGACUGACAAGCCAUGUUGUCUCCACAAGGGCAGAGCCCAGACGCCUGAGUCACCCCUGCCUGAUCAACCUUACAGGCUGUACACACAGUGACACAACCAGGGAGAAGUAGGAAAAUGGGCAGUUCCCUUUACCUUAAUUCCGUCAUGUUUUUACAGUAUGUUCUUGCUGAUCAAGCCAAUUCAAGCCUGACAAAAAAGGAGAGGACCUGAUCAAGAGUUUGUCUAGAUUUUGUUCACUCACGGUCAUCAAAAAGGCCUCCUUGGGCCAGCACUGCCUCCACAUUCACAGGUCCAGGCCAUGGCCCCGUG
rnacentral:lncRNA from 1 species